GGGCGGGUGGCGAAAUGGCAGACGCGCCAGCUUUAGGAGCUGGUACCGCAAGGUGUGGAGGUUCAAGUCCUCUCCCGCCCA
rnacentral:tRNA from 4 species